CCCGCAACGAGCGCAACCCUUAUCCUUUGUUGCCAGCGGUCCGGCCGGGAACUCAAAGGAGACUGCCAGUGAUAAACUGGAGGAAGGUGGGGAUGACGUCAAGUCAUCAUGGCCCUUACGACCAGGGCUACACACGUGCUACAAUGGCGCAUACAAAGAGAAGCGACCUCGCGAGAGUAAGCGGACCUCAUAAAGUGCGUCGUAGUCCGGAUUGGAGUCUGCAACUCGACUCCAUGAAGUCGGAAUCGCUAGUAAUCGUGGAUCAGAAUGCCACGGUGAAUACGUU
rnacentral:rRNA from 1 species